GAACGCAUAUUGCACUCUCUGGUAAUCCGGGGAGUAUGCCUGUUUGAGGGUCAGUAAAUAAUAAUUAUCAUAAUCUUUUGAUUGUGGAAUUGGGCCUUUAUUUCAUUUUAAUGAUUUAUGGCCUCAAAUUUACGUUACCGCUUGUUUAAUAUGAAAUUCGACCGAAUGGAGCAAUUAAACAUUCUCUCGUUAGGCGGAUUCAUCAAGCAAUUACAAUUUUUUGGCCGUCGAAGCACUUUUUUUUAGAAGUGCUUGGUCCAGAUUGUAAGAUACAUUUUUAACAAUGACCUCAAAUCAGGCAAGAAUACCCGCUGAACUUAAG
rnacentral:misc_RNA from 1 species